rnacentral:lncRNA from 1 species
GUCCAGGUGAGCAUGGCAAGGUGUUUCCUGUGGAGCCACUAACCAGUGGUUGAGCAGGCUUGUAGGGAGGUUCUGCUCCUUCCCCAGCCCUUGCCCUGCUCUGGCUCCAUCCGUGGGCAGCGUUCUCUCUGAGCUGCUGAGGUUCCUCAGCCUCCCCAUGGCAGGAAUGGAGGUGUGGAGGUCUCCUCUGGGCUCCAGCAGCAGAACAGGCUGGUGAGGGCUGGCUCCAAAGAGGUGAGACCUUCCUACACCAGUGCUGGGGAGGCAGGAGCGAGAGGAGAGCUCCAGGAGCCAUCUCAGGAGCUGAGUAUAUUUUUUUUCCCCCUGUGGUUGGAAUGGAGGGGUUGGGUCUGUGCCUAAGAAGCAGCAGCCGAACGUCGGUCCUGGGAGAAAGCCGAGUGGAUGUGGGGUGCCCUGCCAGCUAACUGUCCAGGAGCUGCAGCCCCACGGCCCGAGGGGCUGGAUGCAGUGAGAGAGCCUCUCACAGGAUCCACGUGGUGACGUGGCAGCCAAGACGUGGAAGUUUGGGACUCCUCUUCCACCGCAGCAGAAUUUGGGGGGUGGGCAGGGGUGGGUCAGGGGGACACUGGGAGUCGCAAGACCCUUCACCUUC